rnacentral:rRNA from 1 species
GACGAACGCUGGCGGCGUGCUUAACACAUGCAAGUCGAACGGAAAGGCCCUGCUUGCAGGGUACUCGAGUGGCGAACGGGUGAGUAACACGUGGGUGAUCUGCCCUGCACUUCGGGAUAAGCCUGGGAAACUGGGUCUAAUACCGGAUAUGACCUUCCAUGUAGUGUGGGGGGUGGAAAGAUUUGUCGGUGUGGGAUGAGCCCGCGGCCUAUCAGCUUGUUGGUGGGGUAAUGGCCUACCAAGGCGUCGACGGGUAGCCGGCCUGAGAGGGUGGACGGCCACAUUAGGACUGAGAUACGGCCCAGACUCCUACGGGAGGCAGCAGUGGAGUAUAUUGCACAAUGGGCGGAAGCCUGAUGCAGCGACGCCGCGUGGGGGAUGACGGCCUUCGGGUUGUAAACCUCUUUCGACAGGGACGAAGCUUCGGUGACGGUACCUGUAUAAGAAGCUCCGGCUAACUACGUG